AUAGCUCAGUUGGUAGAGCACAACCUUGCCAAGGUUGGGGUCGCGAGUUCGAAUCUCGUUUCCC
rnacentral:ncRNA from 12 species